UGGUUGAGUCAGUAGAAAUAAGGCCCUGAAAACAGUGUCUGGUGCAUGGUUAAGUGCUCUGCUGGUCCAAUUGUCCGGACACAGUCUUAGUCCUGGAUCUUCCCUCUGUGACACGGAACCCUCAUUAGGGCUACCGGUUUACUGCUUCUCUGUCCCCAUCCCCUUGCCAUAGCCUAAUCUCUCCCUACUCCCCAUCAGCCAGCCACCAACCCUUCCCAGUUAUCAGCUAGGGUUCUCCCUCUCUGGGCCCAGCGGCCUUGGGGCCUAGCAGUCUGCUGAGCACCUUUCAUCCCUCCCCAAAGUACCCCAAUUCUGCUCUCCUUGUAAUCUGCUGUACCACGUGCACAGUAGAGAGAUCCAGAAAAGGAGGUUGGUUGCCUGGGCAACAGAGGAUAAAGCCCUUGCUGUGCUAGGCUGCUGAUUGGCUGAGAAAGGUCCGCCUCCUGCCAUCCUGAGAGUGGGGGGUAGACAGAAGGGUCUCUGAUGGGCAGGGAGAGGUGCCAGGGUACUGAGUCAGCCCAGGACAACGCCUCUCUGUCCCAGUCAGAGCCCUGGCAUGAGAAGUUCUGAUUCCUGUUGGGGGCAUUAGCUUCACCCCAUCUCUGCCUCCAGCACCCAGAGUGGCCACAGAUGGCAGUGUCUCUGGGGACAGGAGCUGCGACUGAAUCCCGGGGCCGACACUGAGCUGCUCAGGCUGAGACGGUGUGCUCGGCGCAGAGCCCCCGGCACAGGCAUCUGCAGGGCGUGAGUUACAGCCUCCCUGGAGGUAGGGGGACAGGAGGAGCUCAAGUUUGGAGACAGAGGACCUGGGGCUUUUCCUCAGCCUGCUCUGGAAGUGACUUCAUCCAUCCGUGAUUCCCACCCGCAGAAGCCAAGGCAGGGUCUCUGUCCAUGUAGCCCCACUCAGGUGUUUCCCUGCCUGGCAGAACUCAACCCUCUGGAC
rnacentral:lncRNA from 1 species